rnacentral:rRNA from 1 species
AUAGUGGGGGAGUAGCCUUUCGUAAAGGAAGAUUAAUACCGCAUAAGAUUGUAGUAUCGCAUGAUAUAGCAAUUAAAGGAGCAAUUCGCUAUAAGAUGGACCCGCGUCGCAUUAGCUAGUUGGUGAGGUAAUGGCUCACCAAGGCGACGAUGCGUAGCCGACCUGAGAGGGUGAUCGGCCACAUUGGGACUGAGACACGGCCCAGACUCCUACGGGAGGCAGCAUG